GAAGCCCAUAAAUUAAUUUUUAAUGGAGCAAACAAUAAAAAUGGAUCUGAUCCGUAUCAGCCCAGUAAUACUUUUGAUACUGGGUAUCAAGUGACGUGUCACUUUCUGAUUUGUUGCGUUUUGCCGAAAGAAGGAGAAAAAAAAAAAAAUCAUUUUGCCGUCCUUCGUUCCUUCCGCUUCUCCUCCGACUUCAUCUCUUCGAUCCAUCUCUCCUUGGCCGUGAAGUUCCCUUUCUUCACUCCCUUAACUUCAAAACCUUUCUUCAAACCCAUCAAAGUCUCCGUCUCCGUCUCCGUUCAAACUCCUCCGCCGGAGUUCGAUUUCCGAAACGAAAUCGCGUCGGACUCACGCGCUGCAAUCGCAACAACUUUUCCGGAGUUGCUUGACCUCGCCGAUAACGGGACUUUGAUUCUUGUCCAGAAACAGAGUUUUGGUCCUGUUCCAGCUUGGCGCAAAGAGUUCGUUGAGCCGGAGUCGAUUUGGCUUGUGGGUACUUCUCAUAUGUCGUCGGAGUCUGCUUCCGUCGUUGAACGUGUCGUCCGUACUGUGAAACCUGAUAAUGUCGCCGUCGAGCUCUGUCGUAGCAGGAAAGUUCAUUUCUUUAUCCAGUUGAAUCUAGGGUUACGUCAAAGUUGAUACUUUUGGAGAAAUGUAGAAUAGUUUAGACUUUGUUGUCAAUAGAAAGUUAAGGAACAGAGUGAAAUUGAUGACAGUAAUGAUUCAUCCUAAAUCAGUUCCAGCCAACAAGGCUGCUUCAAGCAGUGAUGAUUCAUCUGUUGCUAAGAAGUCUUAAGGAUGACUUAUCUUCUGAUUAAUUUCUUAUUCUUAUGAAGUUUAUGUCUUGUAUCAUAAGAGUUGUGCUAAUACAGUUAGCUCUUGGCUGUUACAAAUAAUUUCAGGACGUUGCUGCAAACAAGAAGCCUGCGCGGCCAAGGCUGAGAGUUCGUCUGAAGAUGAUUCAUCUUCUGAAGAAGAACCUUCAAAGAAACCAGCUGCUAAGAAUGCCAAGGCAGCUGCUAAAGAUUCUUCUUUCUCUGAUGAGUACUCAGAUGAUGAUUCUGAGGAUGAGAAGCCUGCUACCAAGAAGGCAGCUCGUGCUGCUACCAAGGCUGCAAGCAUCUCAGAUGCAUCAGAUGAAGUGGUGACAAGCUCAAAACGAUUCUUCCUCUUCUCAUAUUUCUCAAUACAAUUCCUCUAAAAACAAGUAUCUUUCAAUGGUUUUCUUUCUCUAAAAACAAGUAUCUUUUAAUUGUUUUCCUUCUCAAAUCACAAAUCUCUUUUAAUUGUUUUCCUUCUCAAAUCACAAAUCUCUUUUAAUUGUUUUCCUCUCUAAACCCAAAUCUCUUUUUAGUUCUUGUACGUUUUGCUUCUUAAAAAAUAAUAGCAUCCCAAAUCUCUUUGAUUUUG